rnacentral:lncRNA from 1 species
AAAGAUUCUGGUUCUGUCCUCUUCCCCAAGGCAAGGCUGGCUGCCCUACCAACAGAGGCAAAGAGAAGAGUGUGCAAGGCUGGCUGCCCUCCCAACAGAGGCAAAGAGGAGUGUGUGUUGAAAUAUCCAUUGAAUCCCUGAGACAACUGGAUCCUGGCCCAUUGAAUCAUAAACUCAUUAUGGAGGCUGGGAAGACCUAGAAUGUGGCAUCACUAUUUGACCAUAUGAAGAUCAAGAAGAAGGAAGACCAAAAUGUGGAUACGUUGAUCCUUCUUAGAAAGGAGAACAAAAUACCCAUGGGAGGAGUUACAGAGACAAAGUGUGGAGCAGAGACUGAAGGAAAGACCAUCCAGAGACUGCCCCACCUGGGGAUCCAUCCAUCCCAUAUACAGUCAUCAAAUCCAGACACUAUUGUGGAUGCCAACAAGGGCUUGCUGACAGAAGCCUUAUAUAGCUGUCUCCUGAGAGGCUCUGCCAGUUCCUGACAAAUACAGAAGUGGAUGCUUUCAGUCAACCAUUCGACUGAGCACAGGGUGCCCAAUAGAGGAACUAAAGGACCCUAGGAGCUGAAGCUGAAAUUUUUAAUAUAAUGCCUCUUAGCCUGGUUUGGAGAAAACGUCACAGAGAGGCACCAUUUGUUGUGGUUUUACAUGAAAAUUUUCUGACCCUGAACCUGGUUUGAUGGAAAUCAUUUGCUGAGGAAACCAUGCCGAUUACCGACCGAGCUCUCAAUGGAAAAAUGCAGUCGGCGUGAACCACGCACGAACACAGCAGAGAAAGAAGAAAACACACACCACGAGGAACCCUAAUAGGACAAUACAUUAUAAGUCACAGUGCUACGGAGAAACCCAGUAGCCACAUGGAAGCAGAGACCAUGCAUAUGCAUCUACUCCGCAGCUCUGUGAAUGUCAGCAGCUCCCACGGACUGGAGAUCCCGUGAGAUCCCGUGAGAUCUCACCCAUAGCCUCAUGGUACAUCCACUUGGUGUGCUGGGAGAGUCAGGAUGAGGACCUGAGAAGAACAGCAGCUUGAACCUGACUUCAUUUAACAGCCCACUGCCCUCUUGCCAAGAACCCAUCACAGACCUUCCCAGAAGAGAGGGAUGAGCCUCACCUAUGAAUAAGUCCUCAGAAACUCAAAUUUGAUUCUAAUGGAUUGUUUUCUCAGAAAGACUGAGCAUGUCCCCCCACAUCUCUGUCAUUUCCCACAGUAGUAACCUCUGCAGAUGCCACAUAGAAAACAAAACAAAACAAAAAAACAUGAGGUUGGUGGGCAGAUAGGCAGGGUAUAAACAAACAGCCUUGUAACCCAGAAGCUGUGUGAUAUACAGUAAACUUCACAACACUGAAAAGAUGUCCUAUCUGUUAAAAUGGGGUAAUAACAACUACCCGAAUGUUUAGGAAUAGAACUUCAAUAAAUGAUACAUUUUAUAGUACAGCA